rnacentral:rRNA from 1 species
UGGUUUGAUUAUGGCUCAGGAUGAACGCUGGCGGCAUGCCUAAUACAUGCAAGUCGAACGGAGUGAAGCCUUCGGGUUUCAUUCAGUGGCGAACGGGUGAGUAAUACGCAGGGAACCUGGCCAUGGCAGGGGGAUACACUCUGGAAACGGAGCAUAAGACCCCAUAGGCAGUAAGGCGGCAUCGCCUUGCUGUUAAAGAAAGCUGAAAGGCUUUGGCGAUGGAUGGACCUGCGGUGCAUUAGCUUGUUGGUGAGGCAACGGCUUACCAAGGCGAUGAUGCAUAGCCGGCCUGAGAGGGCGGACGGCCACACUGGGACUGAGACACGGCCCAGACUCCUGCGGGAGGCAGCAGUAGGGAAUUUUCGUCAAUGGGCGCAAGCCUGAACGAGCAAUGCCGCGUGAGUGAGGAAGGUCUUCGGACUGUAAAGCUCUGUUGCCGGGGAAAAAGGGGAAAUGCAGGAAAUGGCAUUUCAUGGAUGGUACCCGGCCAGAAAGCCACGGCUAACUACGUGCCAGCAGCCGCGGUAAUACGUAGGUGGCGAGCGUUAUCCGGAAUGAUUGGGCGUAAAGGGUGCGCAGGCGGUCUGUUAAGUCUGAAGGCAAAGGGAUGAGCUCAACUCAUUUAUGAUUCAGAAACUGGCAGACUUGAGGACAGGAGAGGGCGGUGGAACUCCAUGUGUAGCGGUAAAAUGCGCAGAGAUAUGGAAGAACACCAGUGGCGAAGGCGACCGCCUGGCCUGUGACUGACGCUGAGGCACGAAAGCGUGGGGAGCAAAUAGGAUUAGAUACCCUAGUAGUCCACGCCGUAAACGAUGAGGAGCAGGUGUUGGGAGUGAAAUCUCAGUGCCGAAGCCAACGCAGUGACUCCUCCGCCUGGGGAGUAUGCACGCAAGUGUGAAACUCAAAGGAAUUGACGGGGGCCCGCACAAGCGGUGGAGUAUGUGGUUUAAUUCGAAGCAACGCGAAGAACCUUACCAGGUUUUGACAUCGGAUGCGAAGGCGCAGAGAUGCGCUGGAGGCUAUCAUCCAGACAGGUGGUGCAUGGUUGUCGUCAGCUCGUGUCGUGAGAUGUUCAGUUAAGUCUGGCAACGAGCGCAACCCCCGUGGUAUGUUACUAACGCAUUUGGGCGAGGACUCAUAUCAGACUGCCGGUGACAAACCGGAGGAAGGCGGGGAUGACGUCAAAUCAUCAUGCCCCUUAUGACCUGGGCUACACACGUACUACAAUGGCGUCUACAGAGGGAAGCGACCCUGAGAAGGGAAGCGAAACCGGAAAAGGGCGUCCCAGUUCGGAUUGAAGUCUGCAACCCGACUUCAUGAAGAUGGAAUCGCUAGUAAUCGCGGAUCAGCAUGCCGCGGUGAAUACGUUCCCGGGCCUUGUACACACCGCCCGUCAAACCAUGGAAGCCGGCAACGCCCGAAGCCGGUGGCAUAACCUUUUAGGAGUGAGCCGUCGAAGGCGGGGCCGAUGACUGGGGUUAAGUCGUAACAAGGUACCC